UUUGAAUGAUGAGGAACCUGAUAGGGACAACAGAUUCUCGAAUGUGACGAGAAACAUCUUUAUAGCCCAGUUUUUAGUAGAGCUUAGGGCGCCUUUACUGACU
rnacentral:snoRNA from 19 species